GAUGAACGCUGGCGGCGUGCCUAACACAUGCAAGUCGAACGGAGUCCCGCCUUUAAUACCUUCGGGUCAAAGAGGGGAAGACUGAGUGGCAGACGUGUGAGUAACACUUGUGCAACCUGGCUCAUAGAGGGGGAUAACAGAUAGAAAUUUCUGCUAAUACCGCAUAAGCACACACUGCCGCAUGGCCGAUGUUGAAAAGAGAAUCGCUAGGAGAUGGACCCGAGUCUGAUUAGCCAGUUGGCAGGGUAAGAGCCUACCAGAGCGACGAUCAGUAGCCGAUGUGGGAGGCUGGGCGGAGACAUUGGGACUGAGACACGGCACAAACUCCUACGGGAGGCAGCAGUGGGGGAUAUUGCACAAUGGCGGGAACGAUGAUGCAGCGCCGACGCGUGAGUGAAGAAGUAUUUCGGUAUGUAAAGCUCUAUCAGCAGGGAAGAUAAUGACAGUACCUGAAUAAGAAGCCACGGCUAACUACGUG
rnacentral:rRNA from 1 species